GACGAACGCUGGCGGCAUGCUUAACACAUGCAAGUCGAACGGAACGGCCCUGCCUAUGUGGGCAGCUGGGGUGGCGAACGGGUGAGUAACACGUGAGUACCCUGCCCCUGACUGUGGGAUAACCUAAGGAAACUGAGGGUCAUACGGGCUAGGAGUUCUCGCUGUUUGGUGGGGGCGGGAAAGUUUCGCCGGUUGGGCGUGGACUCGCGGCUCAUCAGCUUGUUGGAGGGGUAGUGGCUUAGCAAGGCUUUGACGGGUAGCCGGCCUGCGCGGGGGACCGGCCACACUGGGACGGGAAUGCGGCACGGACUCGUACCGGAGGCAGCGGUGCGGAAGAGUGUACAGGGGGAGGAGGCCAGAUGCAGCAACGCCGCGUGCGGGAUGACGGCCAUCGGGUAGGAUUGCACUUUCGCUUGUGACGAAGCGUGAGUGACGGUAACGGGUAAAGAAGCACCGGCUAACUACGUG
rnacentral:rRNA from 1 species